rnacentral:rRNA from 1 species
UGGGGAAUUUUGGACAAUGGGCGAAAGCCUGUUCCAGCCAUGCCGCGUGAGUGAAGAAGGCCUUCGGGUUGUAAAGCUCUUUUAGUCGGAAAGAAAGAGUUGCAAUGAAUAAUUGUGAUUUAUGACGGUACCGACAGAAAAAGCACCGGCUAACUACGUGCCAGCAGCCGCGGUAAUACGUAGGGUGCGAGCGUUAAUCGGAAUUACUGGGCGUAAAGGGUGCGCAGGCGGUCUUGCAAGUCAGAUGUGAAAGCCCCGGGCUUAACCUGGGAAUUGCGUUUGAAACUACAAGACUAGAGUGCAGCAGAGGGGAGUGGAAUUCCAUGUGUAGCAGUGAAAUGCGUAGAGAUGUGGAAGAACACCGAUGGCGAAGGCAGCUCCCUGGGUUGACACUGACGCUCAUGCACGAAAGCGUGGGGAGCAAACA